rnacentral:rRNA from 1 species
UACGGUAGGGUGCGAGCGUUGUCCGGAAUUAUUGGGCGUAAAGAGCUCGUAGGCGGUCUGUCGCGUCCGAUCGGUGAAAACUUGGGGCUUAACCCUGAGCUUGCGGUCGAUACGGGCAUGACUGGAGUUCGGCAGGGGAGACUGGAAUUCCUAGUGUAGCGGUGAAAUGCGCAGAUAUCAGGAGGAACACCAAUGGCGAAGGCGGAUCUCUGGGCCUGAUCUGACGUGAGGCGCGGAAAAGCUAGGGGGAGCGAAACAGG